GAUGAACGCUGGCGGCGUGCUUAACACAUGCAAGUCGAACGGACUUUACAUGAAACCUAGUGAUUGUAAAGUUAGUGGCGGACGGGUGAGUAACGCGUGGGUAACCUGCCUUGUACAGGGGGACAACAGUUGGAAACGACUGCUAAUACCGCAUAAGCGCACGGAGCUGCAUGGCUCAGUGUGAAAAACUCUGGUGGUACAAGAUGGACCCGCGUCUGAUUAGCUAGUUGGUGAGGUAACGGCCCGACCAAGGCGACGAUCAGUAGCCGGCCUGAGAGGGUGAACGGCCACAUUGGGACUGAGACACGGCCCAAACUCCUACGGGAGGCAGCAGUGGGGAAUAUUGCACAAUGGGGGAAACCCUGAUGCAGCGACGCCGCGUGAGUGAAGAAGUAUUUCGGUAUGUAAAGCUCUAUCAGCAGGGAAGAAAAAUGACGGUACCUGACUAAGAAGCCCCGGCUAACUACGUG
rnacentral:rRNA from 1 species